rfam:Schistocephalus solidus strain NST_G2 genome assembly, scaffold: SSLN_scaffold0006882
GGCCUUGUAGCUCAGUUGGCUAGAGGGUUGGCUGUACUAAAGCCUUCCCCUUGUUGGCAUGGGUUCGAAUCACAUCGAGGCCG